rnacentral:rRNA from 1 species
AAACCGUUCAGGGGUAAACCUGAGAAACCCGAAAGAUUCGAACGGGGAGAUUCAUCGUCAGCGGCGCUGGCUUCGCGUCGGUGGGCGAUGUCCCGCGGUGCCGCCUCGUCGCGGCUCCCGUGCGGGCACGCUACCGUGCGCCGAUGUCCGGCGAACGUCGUCGUGCACUUCUCCCCUAGUAGGACGUCGCGACCCGCUGGGUGUCGGUCUACGGCCCGGGGCUGAGGUGACUGCCGCGUGGCACGUAAAACUGCGCGCGGCAAACUCCCGGUCGCCCGGCCGACUGCCCGGCGGUAUACGCAACGGUAUCAGGCCGCGCCUCGCGCGCGUCGAGCCCGUCGCAAGCGAGCGCCACGGUAGCCGGAGGUACGGACCUAGCGCCGUCCCCGGUCCUGGCCCGCUGCUGGCUGCCUCGUACGGUGUAACCUUCGACUGGCCUAGAGUCCCGCGCCCCCGUAACACGGGGCGCGGACGGAUACCGGUCGGCGACGCUACUGCUUUGGGUACUCUCAGGA